GGAAGAAUUGCUUCUGGAAGCUGAUGGAGUUGGACAUGUGGCUUUCUAGAAUCUGGAUGUGAUGGUUUAGGAAAAACUCCUGCCCAUUGAGAGGGCUCCGUAAGUGCUUCCCAAAAGAGAAUGAGAAGGAAAAGGAGAUCUCCGCAGGAACUGCCUCCUUGGAUCCAGGGCAAAAAUGAACCUCCUAUUGGAGAGAAGUGCCCAGCUUGUCAAGAGGUUGAAUCAGUGCAACCAGCGUUUGUGAAAGCAGCAUUUCCCAUUUCACACAAAGUCAGCUUCUGGCCAACUGGACAAGUCUGAACAAAUAUGAAACCCACUAAAAGGCCAGUGACAGGUGCACACACUACUGACUCUGGCUAGAGGCUGUGGCAGGAAUUGGACUCAUGUCAUCCAGUGACAGUUCCACCAGCAUCUCUUGUGGCUUCCCAAGGACCAGCCUGAAGCAAACUCCUCAGUGGUGUGAAGACUUUCCAUGUCACUGGAAACCCACCACAGAGUUCUACCAAGUAACCAUGCCUCCACCAGUCCACAACAAACUUUUAAGUCCUCUCCAGUUAUGCCUGCAACCAUCCCACAUUAGCAACCUAAGUCGGCCACCAGUAGAGCUGGUCAAGAGAAAGGAUAGGUUCAAUUAUUUUUUAAUUAAAAAGAAAUAGAGACAGGGUCUUGUUAUGUUGCCCAGGCUGGUCUUGUACUCCUGAGCUCAAAUUAUCUUCCCACCUCAGCCUCCCAAAGUGCUGAGAUUACAGGUGUGAGCCACCAUACUCAGCCAGAUAGAUUCAAUUUUUAAAACCUUAUUGCCAUUACUGUUCAGUAACCCCUUGAUAUGGUUGAAUAUUUGUCCCCUCCAAAACUUAUGCUGAUUAUCUAAUCCCCAAUGUGACACUAUUGAGAGCUGGGGCUUUUAAGAUGUGAUUAGGUCAUGAGGGCUCCACCUUCUGAAUGGAUUAAUCCAUUCAUGGAUUAAUGAGUUCAAGGGUUAAUAGAUUAAUUUAUCUUGGGAGUGGGAUUAGUGGUUUUAUAAGAAGAGUGAGACCUCAGCUAGCAUAUUAGCACACUCAGCUCCCUUGGCAUAUGAUACCACCUUGGGACUCUGCAGAGAGUUCCACCAGCAAGGCCUGUACCAGAUGCAGCCCCUUGACCUUGAACUUUUCAGCUUCCAGAACUGUAAGAAAUAGGCCAGGCAUAGUGGUUUACACCUGUCAUCCCACCACUCUGAGAGGCCAAGGCCAGUGGAUUGCUUGAGCCCAGGAAUUUGAGGCUGCAGUGAGCUAUGAUCAUGCCAUUGCACUCCAACCCAGCCUGGGCAACAGAACAAAAAUCAGUCUCAAAAAAAAAAAAAAAAAAAAAAAAAAAAAAAAAAAAAAGAA